AUGCCUAGCCCAGUGGAUCUGGAUGCUUAUUACCAAACAAGGCAUGAGCUCUCUGCAACGCAAGCUCAAUUUCUCUGGGGGAAAGAUAAAAUUUACCAGAUGGGAGAAAUCCAUUGGUGUUGCCUAGCUGGCCUGGUGGAAGAGAUCAGAGGAUGUGGACAAAACAAGAAGACAGCAAUCUGCAAGAGGGCUUUCACCAGGAACUAA
rnacentral:lncRNA from 1 species